rnacentral:rRNA from 1 species
GCCAGACUCCUACGGGAGGCAGCAGUGAGGAAUAUUGGUCAAUGGGCGAGAGCCUGAACCAGCCAAGUCGCGUGAAGGAUGACGGCCCUACGGGUUGUAAACUUCUUUUGUCAGGGAGCAAUUGGGUCCACGCGUGGGCUUAGCGAGAGUACCUGAAGAAAAAGCAUCGGCUAACUCCGUGCCAGCAGCCGCGGUAAUACGUAGGGAGCGAGCGUUAUCCGGAAUUAUUGGGUGUAAAGGGUGCGUAGACGGGAAAACAAGUUAGUUGUGAAAUCCCUCGGCUUAACUGAGGAACUGCAACUAAAACUAUUUUUCUUGAGUGCAGGAGAGGUAAGUAGAAUUCCUAGUGUAGCGGUGAAAUGCGUAGAUAUUAGGAGGAACACCAGUGGCGAAGGCGACUUACUGGACUGUAACUGACGUUGAGGCACGAAAGUGUGGGGAGCAAACAGGAUUAGAUACCCCCGUACCG